GGUUAAGUCCGCUAACGAGCGCGACCCUCGCUGUGUGUUACAAGUGUCACACGGAACUGCCGGUCAUAAACCGGAGGAAGUGGGAUGACGUCAAGUCAGCAUGGCCUUUAUAUCCUGGGCUACACACACGCUACAAUGGGAAGGGACAAUAGGUUGCGAAGCCGCGAGGCGGAGCCAAUCCAGCAAAACUUCCCUCAGUUUAGAUUGCAGGCUGCAACCCGCCUGCAUGAAGUUGGAGUUGCUAGUAAACGCAGGUCAGCCAUACUGCGUUGAAUACGUUCCCGGGGCUU
rnacentral:rRNA from 1 species